GACUACUCCGGUGGCCCAAGUGGUUACAGCGUCCGCCUAGGAUGCGGGAGAUCGCGGAUUCGAACUCCAGCCAAGUCA